CCAAUAGCGUAUAUUAAAGUUGCUGCAGUUAAAAAGCUCGUAGUUGAAUUUCGGGACCAUCAUGUCGGUCGUGCCUCGGUACGUACUGGCAUUGUUGGUUUCUCCCUUCUGACGAACCAUGAUGUCAUUUAUUUGGUGUUGUGGGGAAUCAGGACUGUUACUUUGAAAAAAUUAGAGUGUUUAAAGCAGGCUCACGCUUGAAUACAUUAGCAUGGAAUAAUGAAAUAGGACGUUUGAUUCUAUUUUGUUGGUUUCUAGGAUCGACGUAAUGAUUAAUAGGGAUAGUUGGGGGCAUUAGUAGUCAAUUGUCAGAGGUGAAAUUCUUGGAUUUAUUGAAGACUAACUACUGCGAAAGCAUUUGCCAAGGAUGUUUUCAUUAAUCAAGAACGAAAGUUAGGGGAUCGAAGACGAUCAGAUACCGUCGUAGUCUUAACCAUAAACUAUGCCGACUAGGGAUCGGAUGAUGUUAAUUUUUUAAUGACUCAUUCGGCGCCUUACG
rnacentral:rRNA from 1 species